GUGCUCACUUCGGCAGCACAUAUACAAAAGUUGGAAGGAUACAGAGAAGAUUAGCAUGGUCCCUGUGAGAGGAUGACAUGCAAAUUCCUGAAGUGUUCCAUAUUAAA
ensembl:snRNA U6 U6 spliceosomal RNA